CAUGCGUCGGUGGGGUCCCUUGGCCUGGCCUGCACCAUCUCGCAAUCCGGAACCUGAUUUCGGCCCGAUCCCGCAGGCCAGGCCGAGGGACCCCACUGGUGCACG
rfam:Myotis lucifugus cont2.42417, whole genome shotgun sequence.